AUUGAACGCUGGCGGCAGGCUUAACACAUGCAAGUCGAACGAGUGGCGGACGGGUGAGUAAUGCUUGGGAAUCUAGCUCAUGGAGGGGGAUAACUACGGGAAACUGUAGCUAAUACCGCGUACCAUAGGAUGAGCCCAAGUGGGAUUAGGUAGUUGGUGAGGUAAAGGCUAACCAAGCCGACGAUCUCUAGCUGGUCUGAGAGGAUGACCGGCCACACUGUGACUGAGACACUGCCCAGACUCCUACGGGAGGCAUCAGUGGGAAAUAUUGCGCAAUGGGGGCAACCUGACGCAGCCAUGCCGCGUGAAUGAAGAGGGCCUUCGGGUUGUAAGGUUCUUUCGGUAGCGAGGCGUUAACUACAGAAGAAGCACCGGCUAACUCCGUGCCAGCAGCCGCGGUAAUAC
rnacentral:rRNA from 1 species